AUUGAACGCUGGCGGCGUGCCUAACACAUGCAAGUCGAGCGGUAACGCGGGGGCAACCCUGGCGACGAGCGGCGGACGGGUGAGUAAUGCUUGGGAAUCUACCCAGUAGUGGGGAAUAACCAGUCGAAAGAUUGGCUAAUUCCGCAUACGCCUCCUCUUCAUACCGAGGAGAAGGGAAAGCGGGGGACCGUAAGGCCUCGCGCUAUCGGAUGAGCCCAAGUCGGAUUAGCUAGUUGGAGGGUAACGGCCUACCAAGGCGACAAUCCGUAGCUGGUCUGAGAGGACGACCAGCCACACUGGGACUGAGACACGG
rnacentral:rRNA from 1 species